CAGCCCCCUGAGUGGUAAGGACGAUUAUUUGGCUUAAAGCGUCCGUAGCCGGCUUAGUGAGUCUUUUGUUAAAUCCAAUGAUUCAAUCAUUGAACUGCAAGAGAUACUGCUAUGCUAGAGGACGGGAGAGGUCGACGGUAGUCCAGGGGUAGGGGUGAAAUCCUAUAAUCCUUGGAGGACCACCAGUGGCGAAGGCGGUCGACUAGAACGUGCCUGACGGUGAGGGACGAAAGCUGGGGGAGCGAACCGGAUUAGAUACCCGAGUAGUCC
rnacentral:rRNA from 1 species